UGGGGAAACCCAGUGUGUUUCGACACACUAUCAUUAACUGAAUCCAUAGGUUAAUGAGGCGAACCGGGGGAACUGAAACAUCUAAGUACCCCGAGGAAAAGAAAUCAACCGAGAUUCCCCCAGUAGCGGCGAGCGAACGGGGAGCAGCCCAGAGCCUGAAUCAGUGUGUGUGUUAGUGGAAGCGUCUGGAAAGGCGCGCGAUACAGGGUGACAGCCCCGUACACAAAAAUGCACAUGCUGUGAGCUCGAUGAGUAGGGCGGGACACGUGGUAUCCUGUCUGAAUAUGGGGGGACCAUCCUCCAAGGCUAAAUACUCCUGACUGACCGAUAGUGAACCAGUACCGUGAGGGAAAGGCGAAAAGAACCCCGGCGAGGGGAGUGAAAAAGAACCUGAAACCGUGUACGUACAAGCAGUGGGAGCCUCUUUAUGGGGUGACUGCGUACCUUUUGUAUAAUGGGUCAGCGACUUAUAUUCUGUAGCAAGGUUAACCGAAUAGGGGAGCCGAAGGGAAACCGAGUCUUAACUGGGCGUUAAGUUGCAGGGUAUAGACCCGAAACCCGGUGAUCUAGCCAUGGGCAGGUUGAAGGUUGGGUAACACUAACUGGAGGACCGAACCGACUAAUGUUGAAAAAUUAGCGGAUGACUUGUGGCUGGGGGUGAAAGGCCAAUCAAACCGGGAGAUAGCUGGUUCUCCCCGAAAGCUAUUUAGGUAGCGCCUCGUGAAUUCAUCUCCGGGGGUAGAGCACUGUUUCGGCAAGGGGGUCAUCCCGACUUACCAACCCGAUGCAAACUGCGAAUACCGGAGAAUGUUAUCACGGGAGACACACGGCGGGUGCUAACGUCCGUCGUGAAGAGGGAAACAACCCAGACCGCCAGCUAAGGUC
rnacentral:rRNA from 1 species